rnacentral:rRNA from 1 species
ACACAUGCAGUCGAGCGGCAGCACAGAGAAACUUGUUUCUCGGGUGGCGAGCGGCGGACGGGUGAGUAAUGCCUGGGAAAUUGCCCUGAUGUGGGGGAUAACCAUUGGAAACGAUGGCUAAUACCGCAUAAUAGCUUCGGCUCAAAGAGGGGGACCUUCGGGCCUCUCGCGUCAGGAUAUGCCCAGGUGGGAUUAGCUAGUUGGUGAGGUAAUGGCUCACCAAGGCGACGAUCCCUAGCUGGUCUGAGAGGAUGAUCAGCCACACUGGAACUGAGACACGGUCCAGACUCCUACGGGAGGCAGCAGUGGGGAAUAUUGCACAAUGGGCGCAAGCCUGAUGCAGCCAUGCCGCGUGUGUGAAGAAGGCCUUCGGGUUGUAAAGCACUUUCAGUCGUGAGGAAGGUGGUGUUGUUAAUAGCAACAUCAUUUGACGUUAGCGACAGAAGAAGCACCGGCUAACUCCGUGCCAGCAGCCGCGGUAAUACGGAGGGUGCGAGCGUUAAUCGGAAUUACUGGGCGUAAAGCGCAUGCAGGUGGUUUGUUAAGUCAGAUGUGAAAGCCCGGGGCUCAACCUCGGAAUAGCACUUGAAACUGGCAAGCCAGAGUACUGCAGAGGGGGGUAGAAUUUCACGUGUAGCGGUGAAAUGCGUAGAGAUCUGAAGGAAUACCGGUGGCGAAGGCGGCCCCCUGGACAGAUACUGACACUCAGAUGCGAAAGCGUGGGGAGCAAAC